rnacentral:tRNA from 1 species
AGCUAACGUAGCAAAUAUGGCCUUGCAAAAGGCCUAAGCCCUUUCUACAGAGGUUCAAAUCCUCUCGUUAACU